rnacentral:rRNA from 1 species
CAAACCGGGAGAUAGCUGGUUCUCCCCGAAAGCUAUUUAGGUAGCGCCUCGUGAAUUCAUCUCCGGGGGUAGAGCACUGUUUCGGCUAGGGGGCCAUCCCGGCUUACCAACCCGAUGCAAACUGCGAAUACCGGAGAAUGUUAUCACGGGAGACACACGGCGGGUGCUAACGUCCGUCGUGAAGAGGGAAACAACCCAGACCGCCAGCUAAGGUCCCAAAGUCAUGGUUAAGUGGGAAACGAUGUGGGAAGGCCCAGACAGCCAGGAUGUUGGCUUAGAAGCAGCCAUCAUUUAAAGAAAGCGUAAUAGCUCACUGGUCGAGUCGGCCUGCGCGGAAGAUGUAACGGGGCUAAACCAUGCACCGAAGCUGCGGCAGCGACACUGUGUGUUGUUGGGUAGGGGAGCGUUCUGUAAGCCUGCGAAGGUGUCCCGUGAGGGAUGCUGGAGGUAUCAGAAGUGCGAAUGCUGACAUAAGUAACGAUAAAGCGGGUGAAAAGCCCGCUCGCCGGAAGACCAAGGGUUCCUGUCCAACGUUAAUCGGGGCAGGGUGAGUCGACCCCUAAGGCGAGGCCGAAAGGCGUAGUCGAUGGGAAACGGGUUAAUAUUCCCGUACUUGGUGUUACUGCGAAGGGGGGACGGAGAAGGCUAUGUUGGCCGGGCGACGGUUGUCCCGGUUUAAGCGUGUAGGUGUGUGUUCCAGGUAAAUCCGGUUCACUUUAACACUGAGGCGUGACGACGAGGCACUACGGUGCUGAAGCAACAAAUGCCCUGCUUCCAGGAAAAGCCUCUAAGCAUCAGGUAACAUCAAAUCGUACCCCAAACCGACACAGGUGGUCAGGUAGAGAAUACCAAGGCGCUUGAGAGAACUCGGGUGAAGGAACUAGGCAAAAUGGUGCCGUAACUUCGGGAGAAGGCACGCUGACACGUAGGUGAAGUGAUUUACUCAUGGAGCUGAAGUCAGUCGAAGAUACCAGCUGGCUGCAACUGUUUAUUAAAAACACAGCACUGUGCAAACACGAAAGUGGACGUAUACGGUGUGACGCCUGCCCGGUGCCGGAAGGUUAAUUGAUGGGGUCAGCGCAAGCGAAGCUCCUGAUCGAAGCCCCGGUAAACGGCGGCCGUAACUAUAACGGUCCUAAGGUAGCGAAAUUCCUUGUCGGGUAAGUUCCGACCUGCACGAAUGGCGUAAUGAUGGCCAGGCUGUCUCCACCCGAGACUCAGUGAAAUUGAACUCGCUGUGAAGAUGCAGUGUACCCGCGGCAAGACGGAAAGACCCCGUGAACCUUUACUAUAGCUUGACACUGAACAUUGAGCCUUGAUGUGUAGGAUAGGUGGGAGGCUUUGAAGUGUGGACGCCAGUCUGCAUGGAGCCGACCUUGAAAUACCACCCUUUAAUGUUUGAUGUUCUAACGUGGACCCGUAA